UUGCGUUCGACUGAAGAAAAAAAGUCACCUACAUCUUGGAUGCCCUGGGGGUUUUAAUAUUUACCAAAGUGGGGGAGUUCUGGUCAGGCCAGAAGGAUUCUGGGAUUGGCCAGUGACCCACAGGUACGCCUGUCUUGGGGUUGGGCCGGACGUAAAUGAGCUUGUGGCAGCUGUGCCAGGGCUGCGGACUGAAGGAUGACAAAGGACGAGCUGGAUCCACAAGACCAUCUGCACAAAGAGAAGACAAUCAUUGUCUAUUAAAAGGUGGAUCUGGACCACUCUUCUCAAAGUGUAUAACAACUCCACUCAAAACCUUUUGGACGAGAGACUCAAGACACUGGUUCAGCAUCCUUUGCGUCUUAACGCAGUAAGAGCGGCCUUAUAGAGAAAGGGUCUAAAUUCUGCAACUGAUUGGCACUGAAAUGUAAGAUUGUUAAGCUGAUGGAUGUACCUCCAGUGACCUCACACAUCUGGGUGAUAGCAGACUCAUCAGUGGGCACACUGCCCAGCUGCUCGCUGUCGGGCACAGACACUCCUGGCAGUCGCAAGACCAGGGCGAAGAGUCGCUGGUCCCAGCGGAACGGUUCCUUAGUCAGCUCACUACCUGGCAACGGGGAAUUCAGCGGCAGAUGUAGCUGAGGGAGGAAGAGAAAAUGAGAAAUGAGAUGGCAUUGGGGUUUAUGAGAAAGACACACUUCCUGCAAAACUUAAUAUUAAACAUGAUAUAAAU